rnacentral:rRNA from 1 species
GACGAACGCUGGCGGCGUGCCUAAUACAUGCAAGUCGAACGAACCGCGACUAAGUGCUUGCACUAAGUCAAGGUGAGUGGCGAACGGGUGAGUAACACGUGGGUAACCUACCUCAUAGUGGGGGAUAACAGUCGGAAACGACUGCUAAUACCGCAUAGGACAUAGGAUCACAUGAUCCAGUGAGGAAAGGUGGCGCAAGCUAUCGCUAAGAGAUGGACCCGCGGUGCAUUAGCGAGUUGGUAGGGUAAAGGCCUACCAAGGCGACGAUGCAUAGCCGACCUGAGAGGAUGAGACGCAAAACUGGAAAUGAGACACGGUACAGCAUAAUACGGGAGGAAGCAGUGGGGAAGAGUGGACAUUGGGCGCAAGUCUGAUCGAGCAAUAUCGAGUGAGUGAAGAAGGCCUUCGGGUUGUAAAGCCGUUUUGUUGGGAAAGAAAAGAAGAAGGUGAAUAACCAGCUGUUCUGACGGUACCCAAAGAAUAAGCAACGGCUAACUUCGUG